rnacentral:rRNA from 1 species
CCUACGGGAGACAGCAGUGGGGAAUAUUGCACAAUGGGGGAAACCCUGAUGCAGCGACGCCGCGUGAGUGAAGAAGUAAUUCGUUAUGUAAAGCUCUAUCAGCAGGGAAGAAAAUGACGGUACCUGAGCAAGAAGCCCCGGCUAACUACGUGCCAGCAGCCGCGGUAAUACGUAGGGGGCAAGCGUUAUCCGGAUUUACUGGGUGUAAAGGGAGCGUAGACGGCAGUGCAAGUCUGGAGUGAAAGGCGGGGGCUCAACCCCCGGACUGCUCUGGAAACUGUACGGCUGGAGUGCAGGAGAGGUAAGUGGAAUUCGUGGUGUAGCGGUGAAAUGCGUAGAUAUUAGGAGGAACACCAGUGGCGAAGGCGGCUUACUGGACUGUAACUGACGUUGAGGCUCGAAAGCGUGGGGAGCAAACAGGAUUAGAUACCCCUGUAGUC